rnacentral:rRNA from 1 species
UACGUAGGGUGCAAGCGUUUAUCCGGAAUUAUUGGGCGUAAAGAGCUCGUAGGCGGUUUGUCGCGUCUGCUGUGAAAACCCGAGGCUCAACCUCGGGCCUGCAGUGGGUACGGGCAGACUAGAGUGCGGUAGGGGAGAAUGGAAUUCCUGGUGUAGCGGUGGAAUGCGCAGAUAUCAGGAGGAACACCGAUGGCGAAGGCAGUUCGUCUGGGCCGUAACUGACGCUGAGGAGCGAAAGCGUGGGGAGCGAACAGG